rnacentral:rRNA from 1 species
UUCCCCUUCGUAACUGCGAGUGAAGCGGGAAGAAGCUUCAAAUUUUGAAUCUCGGCGGUCUCGGGCCGUCCGAAUUGUAAUCUAGAGAAGCGUUUUCCAGCGUCGUGCCCGUGUACAAGUCUCCUGGAAGGGAGCGUCAUAGAGGGUGAGAAUCCCGUCUUUGACACGGAAUGGCGGCGCUUUGUGAUGCGCUCUCGACGAGUCGAGUUGUUUGGGAAUGCAGCUCAAAACGGGUGGUAAAUUCCAUCUAAAGCUAAAUACAUGCGAGAGACCGAUAGCGAACAAGUACCGUGAGGGAAAGACGAAAAGAACUUUGAAAAGAGAGUUAAAUAGUACGUGAAAUUGCUGAAAGGGAAACGCUUGAUGUCCAGUCGCAUCGAUCGGGGGUCAACCUAGCAGUUGCUAGGUGCAUUUCCUGGUCGAUGGGUCAGCAUCAGUUUCGGUCGUCGUACAAGGGCGAGAGUGAAUGUGCCACGCUUCGGCGUGCGUUAUAGCCUCUGGUCGUAUGCGGCGGUCGGGACUGAGGAAAACUACUAGUAGUAUUACUACUGAGUAGGAUGCUGGCAUAAUGGCAUUAAGCGACCCGUCUUGAAACACGGACCAAGGAGUCUAACAUGCCUGCGAGUGUUUGGGUGCCAAAACUCCGAGCGCGAAAUGAAAGUGAAAGUCGAGACCUCCGUCGUGGAGGGCAUCGACGCCCGGACCGGAGUCUUUUCGACGAUGGAUCUGCGGUAGAGCAUGCAUGUUGGGACCCGAAAGAUGGUGAACUAUGCCUGAAUAGGGUGAAGCCAGAGGAAACUCUGGUGGAAGCUCGUAGCGAUUCUGACGUGCAAAUCGAUCGUCGGA